rnacentral:rRNA from 1 species
ACCACUCGCCGUAGGUAGCACGCUCCCCCUCUUCCUCAUCUCCAAAGUCCACCGCCCUCCGUGCCGAGCAACCGAAUCGGGAUCGAUCGUCUCCUCCCCGUCGCCGCCGCCUCGGGCUCGCUUGGUGCAGAUCGGGACCCUCCGCCCGCCCCGACGGGCCGGAUCCCGCCUUGCACCAAGUGAAUCGGAGCCGGCGCAGCGACCCCGCCCCCGCCCCCGCCCCCGCCGCCAGAAUUGGUUGACGCUCCGGUGACGUUGAUUUCGGCCGCCUUCUUCCCCUGGUUCGAUCGGUCCGACGCUGGUGAUUGAUUACUAACUACUCGCUGCCGGUCUUAUGUUCGAUUCCGUAGGUUCGCUCGUGCCUGUUGCGCGUUCGGAUGUUUGCCUGGAUUACGAAAUUCGCUAGAUCUAGAUCUGGCGCCUGGAUUUAAUUGUUGCCUGUUUGAUCUGACGGAUUUUUUGUUGCCAAGCAAGAUCUAAUCCUUCUUUUUUGCCAGGAUUCGUGCCAUGCUAUGGUGCAAAUUGAGCCCCCAAAUUGUGUUGCAGGGGAGGCCGUGGGACGCUAUGAGAUGGUUCGACUUAGUUGGUCAUGACGCGAAUUUCGAUUUGGAUCAUGGGGCGGGUCUUGUGUAUGGUACUGGUAGAUUCAGUAGUAUUUGGCGUGAUUGGACUGUGGAGAACAUUUAUUGAUGUAGAUGGAUGCUGGUAUCGUUUUACUACUUGUAGCAGGGGCGUAUCUCUGGCUAGCAGCUCUGUACUCUGCAGGUGACUGGUAAUUGCGGUGGACUUGUUUUGGGAGGAGACAUGCUCAGAUGAGUUGCAUGUGUAUCCUUCCACAUGCUUUAUUUAGCACAUUUGCUGUAGCCUGAUGUGAAUUGUCUUCAGGACAGAUGCUAAUUCCAGAGAUUUGAUUUGAAACCUGUAAGGUCUACAGUAGACUUUUUCUGUUCAUCUGGGGAAUUUCAGCCUUUUGAUUCAAGACCUAUCGGUAUGGUUUGAGCUUUGAUUUGUCAAAAGCUUACUAAACCUUAUUCAGCAGUGAUCAAAGUGGAUAGGCACAAGUAUCAAAGUUUACAUAGGGAUAGGUGUGUAGUUGCUAUUUUUUGUAUAGUUUUAACUACACUACAUAGGGGUGUAGCGAGCUAAUCUCGAUCCCGUCUGUGAAUCUUGAUAGGAGCAACAUGUACGGUUUCCAAUUUUUAUAGUGUGCCAAGUUUGUUGCUUCCUGGAUGUUUCACUAGUUAUAUGCUGUACCACGUGGUCAUUGUUUGUAUCAGAAUGAAGCAAAAGAGAAAAGUGAGUUUCUAACAGUAAAUUGGUCGAAUCCAAAGCGAC